CCUAACACAUGCAAGUCGAACGGUAACAGGAAGAGCUUGCUUCUUUGCUGACGAGUGGCGGACGGGUGAGUAAUGUCUGGGAAACUGCCUGAUGGAGGGGGAUAACUACUGGAAACGGUAGCUAAUACCGCAUAACGUCGCAAGACCAAAGAGGGGGACCUUCGGGCCUCUUGCCAUCGGAUGUGCCCAGAUGGGAUUAGCUGUGGUGGGGUAACGGCUCACCUAGGCGACGAUCCCUAGCUGGUCUGAGAGGAUGACCAGCCACACUGGAACUGAGACACGGUCCAGACUCCUACGGGAGGCAGCAGUGGGGAAUAUUGCACAAUGGGCGCAAGCCUGAUGCAGCCAUGCCGCGUGUAUGAAGAAGGCCUUCGGGUUGUAAAGUACUUUCAGCGGGGAGGAAGGGAGUAAAGUUAAUACCUUUGCUCAUUGACGUUACCCGCAGAAGAAGCACCGGCUAACUCCGUGCCAGCAGCCGCGGUAAUACGGAGGGUGCAAGCGUUAAUCGGAAUUACUGGGCGUAAAGCGCACGCAGGCGGUUUGUUAAGUCAGAUGUGAAAUCCCCGGGCUCAACCUGGGAACUGCAUCUGAUACUGGCAAGCUUGAGUCUCGUAGAGGGGGGUAGAAUUCCAGGUGUAGCGGUGAAAUGCGUAGAGAUCUGGAGGAAUACCGGUGGCGAAGGCGGCCCCCUGACGAAGAC
rnacentral:rRNA from 1 species